AGACCUUGGCAGAGAGCGCCCUGGGAAAUGCGGAUAUAGAAGGUCAGGAGAACAUCUCUCCUGGUUAUACAGCAUUCCAGGACUCCUCAUCUGUUUUUAAGAGGGAAAUCUGAGUUUUCAAGGAAAGCCGAAUACAGUUGCCAAGUUGCCAGUCAAAGAAACAAUGUCAACACCUGCUCAUAGAGAUGGAAUUCCUAACCCGGAAUAUUGCCCUUGAAUUACAACGAGAAAAAGCACCUCUUCAAGUGAGAUGGCAGACCACCUCAGGAUGGAAAUGUAUUUCUUCAUCCCCCUCUCUACUUCCCUGUGACCUCCUGCAAAUAAGGGAGAGACAAAGAGAAGAGCAGAAGAACAGAAGAAUGGAGUGGCAAAGAGAAGAGAAGGAGUGACUGAACAUUGACAAGACUUUGGUUGGGGAUGGUCAGAGAGGAGAUUAGCUGCUAGACGGCCACACUGCGGAGAAAGAUCAUUUUCCCACUCCAUCCCCCUUCCAGCUCCCCAUCCAUCUCACCAAGAGCCAGCUCCACCACUCAAUAAAACCUUACAUUCAUCUUUCAAGUCUGUGUGUGACCUGAUUCUUCCUGGAUGCUGGACAAGGACUUGGGUAUCAAGAGGGCACUGAGCUGGUUAACACUUAAGCUGUUCAUGGACAACAAGGCUAGCACUGUAACACGCUGACUGGGGCUUUGGGAGUCAUGGACACCCACCCCUAGAUGCUGCCAUGGGGCUGGAACCCAGGGGUGCUCAUCCCAGCUCCUACACCUGCCCAUCUGUGUGCUCCCCAGCCUGUAAGGAGUUUAAGCACACAGCACCAGAAUAAAUGAGGCAUAUCCCUGUUGCUCAUCCUGCAAGGGGGUUCAGGGAACUCUCCCAUUUCAGUGAGAUGGGUUGAAAUGUGUUUAGUUGAAUAUCUGGAGCCAUCUAAACCUCAGAAAUAAAACCCCAGUUGACUCAAAGUCAGCAAGUUGGAGGUCAUGACCUUCAGUUCUUUAUUUAUUUUUUUUUUUUGGGAAGGAGUCUUGCUCUGCCACCAGGCUAGAGUGCAGUGGCACGAUCUUGGCUCACUGCAAGCUCUGCCUCCCAGGUUUAAGCAAUUCUCCUGCCUCAGCCUCCCAAGUAGCUGGGACUACAGGUGUGUACCACCACGCCCAGCUACUUUUUUUUUGUAUUUUUAGUAGAGACAAGGUUUCACCAUGUUGCCAGGAUGGUCUCAAUCUCUUGAUGCCGUGAUCUGCCCGCCUUGGCCUCCCAAAGUGCUGGGAUUAUAGGCAUGAGCCACUGUGCCCAGCCCCAUGACAUGCAGUUCUGAUUUUGUUUGAGAGCACUCCUGCUUGGAGACUGAAGAUUGUUGCUUAGAACUUCAACUGCAGAGCAUUCAGUUCUUCUGGAAAUAAUACUGCAUUCAUUUCCUGGGGUCACUGUCACAAAGUCUCACAAACUGAGUGUCUUGAAAACAGAAUUUUAUUGUCUCAUACUUCUGGAGGCUGGAAGUCUAAGAUCAUGGUGUCGGUACUGGCAGGGUUGGUUCCUUCUGAGGCUGUGAGAGAGAAUCUGUUCUGCCACUCUCUGAGCUUCUGGUAGCCUCAGGCAUCCCUUGGUUUGUAGAUGGCCAUCUCCUCUGUGGGUUCUCCCUCUGUACUUUCCCUCUGUAUCUUCCUGUCCCUGUACCUGUCUCUGUGUUCAAAGUCUCCCUUUUGCUAAGGACACAGUCAUACCGGAUUAGGGCUCUCCCUAAUGACCUCAACUUGUGCAUCUGCAAAGACUUUAUUUCAAGUAAGGUCACAGUCACAGAUACUGUGAAUUAGGACUUCAAUAUCAUCUUGGGGGACUCAUUUCAGCCCAUAACAAAUCUUUUCUGCCACCCGAAAGAAGUCAGGACUAACCAGAAAGAGUGAAAACCCUUCACAAGAGGAAAUUUCUUAAUGUUUCUGAAAAAAGAGAUACAUCCUACCUUAAACCUAUAUAGGAUUUUACAGACUAUAAAACAUAUUCAUGAUCUUCAUAGUAACCCUUCAAAUCUACUAAAUACAUUUAUAGUCAGAACGUUUAAUUAAACACUUUGAGGUCACAUUCACAAGGGAGGGUCUACGGCUGAACUUUAGUCAUACAAUCCCAUUCAUGUUUACUGCUCUCCCCAAAUAAAUGAGCAGUCCAGUCUGACUCAUCACAGACCAGGGGGCACGAUGGCUGAGAAACCGCAGACUAACCUAGCUGACAUCACAAAGAACCUGAAAGGUCUGGUCACAAGAGAGCAAAGGAAGGUGAAUAAAUCCUCCUUCAGAAAGUGGCGCAUUCAGGAUGAGAUGCUGAGGAAGAAAGGAAAACACAGUGCUACCACUUGUGAAGAUCACUGAUUAAUACAGACACUGAAGACUACCUUUUUUUUGAUUAGGAUGGAAAGAGGUCUCUUGAAUUUACCAGGAUAUACUGCUAAUCUGGCAACACCAAGAAGCACUGAGCACCUAUCUUCUUUAAAAUGCCUAGGGAAUUCUUGCAGGAAGUAACUCUAGAAUGAGACCUGAAGUUGUCAAGUAGAAAAGGGGUGCGGCUGAAGAACUGCUGUAGAGGCAGACAGAACAGCUGUGCAGGAAGUGAGAGCAAGAUCUUGACAAAUAUUAUACAUAAUCUGGGGAUGAAUGAAUUUUUCCAUGCUUGAAAGGAACACCUUUGGAAACCCCUGACCAGGGUAAAGCAAGGAUCCCAACGCACUGCGAACAGCUGGGUGACGGAGUACCGUUUACAUCUUCACAGAAGUUUUUCACCAUUUCUCCAAUCAUUCUGUGUUUUCCAGCAAGUUUCUAUAGAAGUAUGCUCCAACUCACUCCGUCGUAAGCACGGCUUCUCUCCUGAGUAUGCUAAACUCCCCAAACGCAGCAACAACACAGCGUUCCGAUCUUUGGAAUUAAUAAGCAGUGAAACGUUUGAAACUGAACAAAAAUUUUUACAGCUACUGAACUUCCUGUAAGGAAGGCAUGCUUAGUAAACUGCACUCUUUCUGUAAUACUGUGAAAUGGGAGGUAUUUACGUUGGAGGGCUGAUUGCUGGUUCUUCAUAUGAUGUUUUGAAGUGGAGGUUUCUAUUAAUGAUGCCUCUGUUGAGCACAUCUGGUAUAUUUCUGAAGAGAGGCUUUGUAAACACAUUGGGCAGGCCCAGCUUGUAAGUGACAAGGCAGCACAGUGAGGGUGCAGUGGAGAAAUCCAAGGAAAUAAGGGAUUUGUAAGAAACUAGGACCAGCUUAAGUUAUAAUGAAAGGGCAUCGUGUUAGGAAAAGAACAUUUCCAUCCUUCAGUCACCAUCAGUUAAAGCAGACGUACAUGGAAACCAGAAUGAUCUCUUUACAAGGUUAUUAAAGAUUGUUUUUAUUACCAUAAAUCACUCCUCAUUGGUCUCCUAUCUCCAAUUUGAUGUUUAGAAUCUAAUCUGGAAUUCUUAUGAUGCCCUAGGAGGCCCCUGAUGCUCUGCCUCCUGGUCUGUUUCUAUGUCUCUGUCCCCUAUAUAUAUAUUUUUUUUUUUUUGAGACAGAGUCUCUCUCUGUCAUGCAGCGGCACCAUCUCAGUUCACUACAGCCUCUGCCUGCUGGGUUCAAGUGAUUUUCCUGUCUCAGCCUUCCAAGUAGCUGGAAUUACAUGCAUGCAUAUGACCAGCUAAUUUUUGUAGUUUUAGUAGAGACUGGGUUUUACCAUGUUGGCCAGGCUGGUCUCAAAUUCCUGAUCUGAAGUCAUUGCCUGCCUUGGCCUCCCAAACUGCUGGGAUUACAGGUGUGAGCCACCGCACCUGGCCUCCAUCUCCUGCUUUCUCUCUGUACCAUCCCAGAGCCCCAGUGCCUCCUUG
rnacentral:lncRNA from 1 species